rnacentral:rRNA from 1 species
AUUGAACGCUGGCGCAUGCCUUACACAUGCAAGUCGAACGGCAGCACGGGAGCAAUCCUGGUGGCGAGUGGCGAACGGGUGAGUAAUAUAUCGGAACGUGCCCAGUCGUGGGGGAUAACGUAGCGAAAGCUACGCUAAUACCGCAUACGAUCUAUGGAUGAAAGCGGGGGAUCGCAAGACCUCGCGCGAUUGGAGCGGCCGAUAUCAGAUUAGGUAGUUGGGUGAGGUAAAGGCUCACCAAGCCGACGAUCUGUAGCUGGUCUGAGAGGACGACCAGCCACACUGGGACUGAGACACGGCCCAGACUCCUACGGGAGGCAGCAGUGGGGAAUUUUAGACAAUGGGCGCAAGCCUGAUCCAGCAAUGCCGCGUGCAGGAUGAAGGCCUUCGGGUUGUAAACUGCUUUGUACGGAACGAAACGGUGAGCUCUAAUACAGUUUGCUAAUGACGGUACCGUAAGAAUAAGCACCGGCUAACUACGUG